GAUGAACGCUGGCGGCGUGCUUAACACAUGCAAGUCGAGCGAAGCACUAAAGCGGAUUUCUUCGGAUUGAAGGUUUAGUGACUGAGCGGCGGACGGGUGAGUAACGCGUGGGUAACCUGCCUCAUACAGGGGGAUAACAGUUGGAAACGGCUGCUAAUWCCGCAUAAGCGCACAGUACCGCAUGGUACGGUGUGAAAAACUCCGGUGGUAUGAGAUGGACCCGCGUCUGAUUAGGUAGUUGGUGGGGUAACGGCCUACCAAGCCGACGAUCAGUAGCCGACCUGAGAGGGUGACCGGCCACAUUGGGACUGAGACACGGCCCAAACUCCUACGGGAGGCAGCAGUGGGGAAUAUUGCACAAUGGGGGAAACCCUGAUGCAGCGACGCCGCGUGAGCGAAGAAGUAUUUCGGUAUGUAAAGCUCUAUCAGCAGGGAA
rnacentral:rRNA from 1 species